GACGAACGCUGGCGGCGUGCUUAACACAUGCAAGUCGAACGAUGAUGCUGGAGCUUGCUCCAGUUGAUUAGUGGCGAACGGGUGAGUAACACGUGAGCAAUCUGCCCUUGACUCUGGGAUAACUGCGGGAAACUGUAGCUAAUACCGGAUACUUUCACCGGGGGGCAUCCUCUGGUGAUGAAAGAAUUUCGGUCAAGGAUGAGCUCGCGGCCUAUCAGCUUGUUGGUGCGGUAACGGCUCACCAAGGCGACGACGGGUAACCGGCCUGAGAGGGGGACCGGUCACACUGGGACUGAGACACGGCCCAGACGGCUUCGGCUGGCAGCGGUGGGGGAUAUUCCCCAAUGGGCGGAAGCCUGAUGCAGCAACGCCGCGUGAGGGAUGAAGGCCUUCGGGUUGUAAACCUCUUUUAGGAGGGAAGCAGCGAAAGUGACGGUACCUGCAGAAAAAGCACCCGCUAAGUACGUGCCAGCCGCCGCAGUAA
rnacentral:rRNA from 1 species